GCCUGAUGGAGGGGGAUAACUACUGGAAACGGUAGCUAAUACCGCAUAAUGUCGCAAGACCAAAGAGGGGGACCUUCGGGCCUCUUGCCAUCGGAUGUGCCCAGAUGGGAUUAGCUUGUUGGUGGGGUAACGGCUCACCAAGGCGACGAUCCCUAGCUGGUCUGAGAGGAUGACCAGCCACACUGGAACUGAGACACGGUCCAGACUCCUACGGGAGGCAGCAGUGGGGAAUAUUGCACAAUGGGCGCAAGCCUGAUGCAGCCAUGCCGCGUGUAUGAAGAAGGCCUUCGGGUUGUAAAGUACUUUCAGCGGGGAGGAAGGGAGUAAAGUUAAUACCUUUGCUCAUUGACGUUACCCGCAGAAGAAGCACCGGCUAACUCCGUGCCAGCAGCCGCGGUAAUACGGAGGGUGCAAGCGUUAAUCGGAAUUACUGGGCGUAAAGCGCACGCAGGCGGUUUGUUAAGUCAG
rnacentral:rRNA from 1 species